GGACGGUGAAGAUUGUGUCAAAGGUCUCGUUCGUCGUAACUGGCAUCUGUUUGCCUUGCCGACCAUCCUGAUAUAUCACCACCCAUAUUCUGAGUCC
rnacentral:snoRNA from 2 species